CAAGUCGAACGAGAAAGUGGAGCAAUCCAUGAGUAAAGUGGCGCACGGGUGAGUAACACGUGACUAACCUACCCAGGAGUGGGGGAUAACUGAGGGAAACCUUAGCUAAUACCGCAUAACACCUACGGGUCAAAGGAGCAAUUCGCUUCUGGAGGGGGUCGCGGCCGAUUAGUUAGUUGGCAGGGUAAUGGCCUACCAAGACGAUGAUCGGUAUCCGGCCUGAGAGGGCGCACGGACACACUGGAACUGAAACACGGUCCAGACUCCUACGGGAGGCAGCAGUGGGGAAUUUUGCGCAAUGGGGGAAACCCUGACGCAGCAACGCCGCGUGGAGGAUGAAGUCCUUCGGGACGUAAACUCCUUUCGAUCGGGACGAUUAUGACGGUACCGGAAGAAGAAGCCCCGGCUAACUUCGUGCCAGCAGCCGCGGUAAUACGAGGGGGGCGAGCGUUGUUCGGAAUUAUUGGGCGUAAAGGGUGCGUAGGCGGUUUGGUAAGUCUGAUGUGAAAUCUAUGGGCUCAACUCAUAGUCUGCAUCGGAAACUGCCGGGCUUGAGUGUGGGAGAGGUGAGUGGAAUUCCUGGUGUAGCGGUGAAAUGCGUAGAUAUCAGGAGGAACACCUGUGGCGAAAGCGGCUCACUGGACCAUAACUGACGCUGAUGCACGAAAGCUAGGGGAGCAAACAGGAUUAGAUACCCUGGUAGUCCUAGCCCUAAACGAUGACUGCUUGGUGUGACGGGUACCCAAUCCCGCCGUGCC
rnacentral:rRNA from 1 species